rnacentral:rRNA from 1 species
UACGGAGGGAGCUAGCGUUGUUCGGAAUUACUGGGCGUAAAGCGCGCGUAGGCGGCUUUGUAAGUUAGAGGUGAAAGCCCGGAGCUCAACUCCGGAACUGCCUUUAAAACUGCAUCGCUUGAAUCCAGGAGAGGUGAGUGGAAUUCCGAGUGUAGCGGUGAAAUUCGUAGAUAUUCGGAAGAACACCAGUGGCGAAGGCGACUUACUGGACACAUAUUGACGCUGAGGUGCGAAAGCGUGGGGAGCAAACAGG